rnacentral:rRNA from 1 species
CGACCGGCGCACGGUGAGUAACGCGUAUCCAACCUGCCCACCACUUGGGAUAACCUUGCGAAAGUAAGACUAAUACCCAAUGAUAUCUCUAGAAGACAUCUGAAAGAGAUUAAAGAUUUAUCGGUGAUGGAUGGGGAUGCGUCUGAUUAGCUUGUUGGCGGGGUAACGGCCCACCAAGGCAACGAUCAGUAGGGGUUCUGAGAGGAAGGUCCCCCACAUUGGAACUGAGGCACGGUCCAA